rnacentral:rRNA from 1 species
AUACGGAGGAUGCGAGCGUUAUCCGGAUUUAUUGGGUUUAAAGGGUGUGUAGGUUGUUGCUUAAGUCAGCGGUGAAAGUUUGCAGCUUAACUGUAAAAUUGCCGUUGAAACUGGGUAACUUGAGUGUAUUUGAGGUAGGCGGAAUGCGUGGUGUAGCGGUGAAAUGCAUAGAUAUCACGCAGAACUCCAAUUGCGAAGGCAGCUUACUAAACUACCACUGACACUGAAACACGAAAGCGUGGGUAUCAAACAGGAUUAGAUACCCUGGUAGUCCACGCAGUAAACGAUGAUUACUCGCUGUUUGCGAUACACAGCAAGCGGCUUAGCGAAAGCGUUAAGUAAUCCACCUGGGGAGUACGCCGGCAACGGUGAA